rnacentral:rRNA from 1 species
GUUUGAUCCUGGCUCAGAACGAACGCUGGCGGCGUGCUUAACACAUGCAAGUCGAACGAGAACGGUUUUCUUCGGAGGACCUAUUAAAGUGGCGCACGGGUGAGUAACACGUAGAUAAUCUACCCAGGUGUCUGGGAUAACUGACCGAAAGGUUAGCUAAUACCGGAUACGUUCACGAUUUCGCAAGAUAACGUGAAGAAAGAUGGCCUCUUCUUGGAAGCUAUCGCAUUUGGAUGAGUUUGCGUACCAUUAGCUAGUUGGUGGGGUAAGAGCCUACCAAGGCUACGAUGGUUAGCGGGUCUGAGAGGAUGAUCCGCCACACUGGAACUGGAACACGGACCAGACUCCUACGGGAGGCAGCAGUGAGGAAUUUUGCGCAAUGGGGGAAACCCUGACGCAGCGACGCCGCGUGGACGAUGAAGGCCUUAGGGUUGUAAAGUCCUGUCAGUAGGGAAGAAGUGUGCAUGUUCUAAUACAACAUGCAUUUGACGGUACCUACAAAGGAAGCACCGGCUAACUCCGUGCCAGCAGCCGCGGUAAUACGGAGGGUGCAAGCGUUGUUCGGAAUUACUGGGCGUAAAGGGCGCGUAGGCGGCCUGAUAAGUCAGAUGUGAAAGCCCACGGCUCAACCGUGGAAGGGCAUCUGAAACUAUCAAGCUUGAGUAUGGGAGAGGAAAGUGGAAUUCCCGGUGUAGAGGUGAAAUUCGUAGAUAUCGGGAGGAACACCAGUGGCGAAAGCGACUUUCUGGACCAAUACUGACGC